rnacentral:rRNA from 1 species
UAGGGAAUAUUGCACAAUGGAGGAAACUCUGAUGCAGCGACGCCGCGUGAGUGAUGAAGGCCUUCGGGUUGUAAAGCUCUGUCCUUAGGGAAAAAAUAAAUGAUUGUACCUAAGAAGAAAGGACCGGCUAACUUCGUGCCAGCAGCCGCGGUAAGACGAAGGGUCCAAGCGUUGCUCGGAAUCAUUGGGCGUAAAGCGGAUGUAGGUGGUCUUGUAAGUCAGGAGUGAAAGCCCUGGGCUCAACCCAGGAAGUGCUUCUGAUACUGCUUGACUUGAGUGUGGGAGAGGAUGGUGGAAUUCCUGGUGUAGUGGUGAAAUACGUAGAUAUCAGGAGGAACUCCGGUGAGGAAGCUGGCCAUCUGGCCCAACACUGACACUGAGAUCCGAAAGCGUGGGGAUC